GCUGGGGAAAGUGGUGCACACCUGUAAUCCCAGUGGCUCAGGAGGCUGAGGCAGGAGGAUUGCAAGUUCAAAGCCAGCCUUAGCAAAAGUGAGGUGCUAAGCAACUUAGUGAGAUCCUGCCUCUA
rnacentral:sRNA from 1 species